CCUACGGGAGGCUGCAGUGAGGAAUAUUGGUCAAUGGCCGCAAGGCUGAACCAGCCAAGUCGCGUGAAGGAAGACGGUCCUAUGGAUUGUAAACUUCUUUUAUAGGGGAACAAAGGUAGCCACGUGUGGCUAUUUGCAUGUACCCUAUGAAUAAGCAUCGGCUAACUCCGUGCCAGCAGCCGCGGUAAUACGGAGGAUGCGAGCGUUUUCCGGAUUUUUUGGGGUUAAAGGGGUCGUAGGGUGUAUGUUAAGUCAGCGGGUAAAAUUUGGGGCUCAACCAUAAAAGUGCCGUUGAAACUGGAAUGCUUGAGUGUGUGAGAAGUAGGCGGAAUGCGUGGUGUAGCGGUGAAAUGCAUAGAUAUCACGCAGAACUCCGAUUGCGAAGGCAGCAUAC
rnacentral:rRNA from 1 species